AGUUUUUCUCUCUGUUCUCCCUAAAAAAUUCAUCCCAUCGCCAAAAUUUCAUCCCCGAAAAUUUCAUCCCACCGCCAAAAAAUUCAUCCCAAAAAUUUCAUCACCCUCUCAAAUCUCUAACCCCCUCCACACCGCACCCUCUCUAAGUCCCCAAAAAUUUCAUCACCGUUCACCCUCAUCUUCUCCGGCCAAACGUAUCCCUUCCACCUCCCUCAUCUUCGCCGACGCUCUCUUCGUUGUCAUCUCCUUCGACCGAGUAACGCCCCACUUCUCCUCCUACUUGACCCCUAGUCGUCCUCAUCUCCAGGCCCUAGCCUUCUCCCAAGUUCCCAACUUUCGACCUCCCCUCUCGGUUCUCGCCUUCAGCAGCUCAGCUCCUCUCCUCAAGCUCCGAUCGGCGAUCUCCAUCAGUCCAUCUCGAUCUCUCCAAAAAACCCUAACCCUAACCUAGAUUUCACCCAAUCGCCGGCCUCUCCUCCUCCUCGUUCAGACCCAAAGCAAUCUCGAUCCACCGACGUUGCGGAUCCAACCCGGUGCAUCCGAGACGGAGGUCAAGAGGGGUUUUUGGCAGCUCGCUCUUUAGGCAUUGAGUGUGAGUGUGAGGAAGCAGAUGCUGGAUGGGGCGACGAGAAAUUUGAAUAGGAUAGCACAUGAGAUUGAUAGGAAGGUUCAAGGCCACUGAUGCUAGCAGAUUGCGUGCUGAAUAUAACCGCCUGGUUGAGGGUUUGGCGCAGAAAGGAAAUUUGCCUACUCAGUUGUCAUGAUGUCUCUCUUGCCAUGAAGGCUGUUUUUGAUCGGUUCCAAUCUGUUAUAAUUACUUCUGGAACUCUGAGCCUGAUCGAUCUGUAUCCUCGAUUGUUAAAUUUCAGUCCUGUGAUUAGUCGGAGUUUUACAAUGUCUUUGACCAGAGACUGUAUAUGCCCCAUGGUUCUUACUCGCGGAAGGUAUUGAUUGAUCAAAGCUUGAUUGAUCAAAGCAAACAAUCUUAUGUAGACUAUAAGUUUAUACAGUUGCACAGUCCUAUUCUUGCUCAUAUAUAUGAGGCUUCAAUAUCUCUUAUGAAGGUGACCGAAGAGAUGAAGAAUGAGCAAUAGCACUUGAAAAGUAUGUUAAGACUAUGGAUUCUUUGACACUGAAGUUUCUGUUUUUCUUUGACCGAGUUUAGUUGGCCUGGACUUUUAGACAAGGUGGAGCUGGUGAUGAGGAUGAUGAUGAUCAGGAGCCCUGAUUUGUUUUUUUUACCUUAAUUUGAAAACAAUGAGUGUGUGCUGUAUAAACAAUAUUUAUC